rnacentral:rRNA from 1 species
UACGGGGGGAGCAAGCGUUGUUCGGAUUUACUGGGCGUAAAGGGCGCGUAGGCGGUCAGCACAAGUCAGUUGUGAAAUCUCCGGGCUUAACUCGGAAAGGUCAACUGAUACUGUGCGACUAGAGUGCGGAAGGGGCAACUGGAAUUCUUGGUGUAGCGGUGAAAUGCGUAGAUAUCAAGAGGAACACCUGAGGUGAAGACGGGUUGCUGGGCUGACACUGACGCUGAGGCGCGAAAGCCAGGGUAGCAAACGGG